CGGCCCGGCAGUACUUUGAGGAGGACGCGGAGUAUUACGAGUAUCCCUACUACUACACAAAUAGCGAGGACGGGCCCGCGCCGGGGGGCAACCCGGAGCAGGUAACCGCGGGCAGGGCCAUGUCCGUCCGUCCGUCCGUCUGUCUGUCCGUCCUGGUUGUGUCGCAGCUCUUUCCCCGCCCCCCCCUCCAGCAGUAGGAGCAUGGAAAGCGCCGGGGAAGGGGGUGGAUAUGGUGGGAGGGGGACGGGGACACCCAUCCGCGUCGGAGGGUCCCGCGGGGACUCACGCCGGGCGCCUUGUGUGUUUUCUCUCUCCCUUCCCCCGKCCCCCCACCCCGGCCCGGGCGGGGGUGUCGCGUGGGUGCGGGUGUCGCUGCCGCCGCCGCCUCCUCUUCGCCGCCGUCCUCUUCCUCCUCCUCCGCGCCGCCGCGCUCGGAGCUAGAAACCCGCCGCGCCGGGCCCCGAGCCCCCCCCCAAGGCCAGCGCCCCCAAACAGCGGCAGACGAUGAACGCGGCGCCCGCCUACGGGAAGCAUCCCGGCAACGGGAAGUAUCCCGGCAACGGGAAGUACCCCGGCGACGGGAAGUAUCCCGGCAAUGGGAAUUCCCUCGGCAACAGCAAGACGAGCCCAGCCGUGAGGAAUGCCGUAGGCAAAGCCCAAGGCGGCCGGGCGGACGCCGGGGCCGGUGGGAAGCAAGGCAACAGCUACCAGCAGGUAGAGCAAGACGGAGGGAUCCCGCUCGGCGCGGAGCGCGGCACGAGCUGGGAUCCGGGAUGGGAGCGUGCUCCCUCCGCCUCCGCCUCCUCCCCACCCCRUCCGUCCGUCCRUCUGCUGUUCCCCCCCCUCUUCCCCGUCCCUCGACGGGGCCAUUCGCAAACGUCCCGGCGGUGCAAAUAAACCGGCAGGAGGGGAAGCGACGGAAAGACGGGAGCGGGGACCCUUUUCCGGCUGUUUGCCUCCUGCCUUUAUUUCUCUUGCCCCCCCCCCCCNNNNNNNNNNNNNNNNNNNNNNNNNNNNNNNNNNNNNNNNNNNNNNN
rnacentral:lncRNA from 1 species